GAAGUCAUCCUGCUCAGUAGAGAGUUACUCGUGAAAUAGCACUUCUAAAGAUCGGCUAUUCUUAAUUUAAGAAAGGGCACGUCGUCAAGAUCGCCCUGGCAAGCAGAGACGAGCUGGAUCCUCGGACACCCCGAGCGGGGAGGGGGAACAACCCCCCUACCUUCAGCAAUGAAGACAAACCCCAAUAAGCGCUAGCUAGCUAACGUUAGCUUGCUACUUGCUACUAGCUAGCUUAGCUUUCUGAACUAGCUUUUCCGCCACCGGCAACUCGGUCGUUGAGGCCCACUGCUGGCUCAACUCGCUAGCUAGCUACGUUUUAUACGCGUUAUUUUUCAGCUGCCGGUCUACGGAGCUAGAUAUUUCUGUAAAUAGUCGCCUUUGAUUACUAUUUUUUUUUUUUUUUUUGCAAUGAGUUUACCGCAGAAAGCGGUUCCGAAGUCAGCCGCUCCCGCCGCUGCCGGACCCGGGCCGACUAACUCUUCUCAGCUGCGGACUCCGCUAGCCACAGUGCCGCUGCCGGGACCGCCGCUCGCCCAGCAGCCUCCUCCAACGCAAGUUUUCCUUAAUGCGUUGCACCCCAGGAUCCCCAGACUGCAGCCGCCGCUGGACGAGCGAAUCUUCUCCACACCGCCUGGCGUUGCUGCAGUCUACAGUGUUCAGAGACCCCCUGGCCCUCCUUACACAGCCCAUGAAAUCAGCAAGGGACACCCAAACCUUGCAGCUACGCCUCCGGGCCACGCCUCCUCACCCGGCCUUUCUCAGGUAUCAGUUUCCACAGUAUCCACUGCGCAUCUGUAUGGCCACCCUAAAGCCUGGGAGGCAGGAGGAGGGUCGCCGUACACACCAGGUCAGAAUGCUGGUACAGCCUCGCUGGUCUACUCAACACAGACACAACAAAUGAACGUCCCGCCUCAAAGCCGCCCGUUUGCCCCAGGGCCUCGUCCCACCCAUCACCAGGGAGGAUUCAGACCCAUUCAGUUUUUCCAGAGAACUCAGAUGCAGCCUCCACGGCCCACCAUUCCAAGCAACAGCCCUUCAAUUCGACCUGCUUCUCAGGCCCCGAAUGCCACUGUAUACUCGCCGAGCCCACCCAUCAUGAUGUCCAUGACACCCAUGCCCUUUGCUUCCCCCCAGGCUGCGCAAUACUACAUACCCCAGUAUCGCCACACUGCUCCUCCAUACGUGGGGCCUCCUCAGCAGUACUCGGUUCAACCCACAGGACCUAGUACUUUCUAUCCUGGACAUACCCCUGGAGAGUUUCCACAAGCCUAUGCUCCAGGGACUCCAUACUAUGCUGGUCAGACCAUGUACACCCCGUCUCCAUCCAUAAUAGUGCCUACACCGCAGCAACCUCCACCUACAAAAAGGGAGAAGAAAACAAUCCGUAUACGAGACCCUAAUCAGGGCGGCAAGGACAUCACAGAGGAGAUCAUGUCAGGAGUGGGUGGGAGUCGGAAUCCCACUCCACCGGUGGGACGGCCCUCCUCCACCCCAACUCCUCCACAGCAGCCGAACCAGGUAGUGGAACAUGGGCAUGUCAUCUAUAAUGUGGACAGUGCCCAGGUCCUCCCUGCUCCUGUCGACUUGAAACCAGAUGACAAGCCAAAGCUUGAGAGUGCUGUACUUAAACCUUCAUCACCAGGACUGUGUGCUGUGGAGCUUCCUGUCCAAAGGCGCCAGCCCAGCAGUCCUGCCCCUGACCCACAUCCCCCAGAGAAAUCAGAGCUUCCUUCUUCGGACCCAGAAGUUGCCCAGAAUGUAGUUCCAGACUCCGUUCCAUCUCUUAGCCCCCCAAAGCCCAUGUCAGCAGAGGAUGCAGCAGAAAAGCCCACCCCUCUAGCAGAGCCCAGUCCUAUACAAGCUGUCACACCAGAGCCAGAUAAACUAGAGCCUGAUCAAGUGCCACCAGAGGUGUCGGCUUCUGCAUCACAAGCUCCAAAAGCAGUCAACGGGUUGGCUGAAACAGACGUCAUUCCUCCUCGUGACGAGCCCGAUUCUCUUCUGCAGUCCCAGUCAUCCACAGAGCCUAGUACUAUACUGGAGCCCUACAGUUUGGAUGUGAAGGCUGCAAGUCCACCAGCUUCAGAAAUUGUUUCUUCUGGCACCUUGGCCCCUUCCCUGCCUACUGCCAAUGCUGCUGCUGCUGUUGCUGUUGUUGAAGCUGCCACUAGUGCUGUUCCCACACCUCCUCCGGGUCUUACUCACCCAGGCCAAGCUGCUCUAGAGGCAGGUCCAGCCCAGACAGCCUUGACUGGGCCAGAGUUAAGAGAUGCUGAAAAAGAGCCAGAGGUUACCCAGGAAGAGAAAGAGGAGACCACAUUACAAUCCAACCUUAGACAAAGCUCAAGUCAAGUUGUAUCUAGUUUACCAAAGACCUGGAAAAAGCCAAAAGAGGACACCCUUAUGGAGCAGGUCCAGUGUCCUGACAGAGAGGAUACACUGGAGCCAAUCAUCGAAACCAAUACAGUGGAAACUUCCAGUUCAUCAUCUGUGGCUGUGGAGCAUCAAGCUUCAGCCGAACCAACCGUAGAGGAGAACGGAGAGCAGGAAGCAGAGCCACUAAAGAAUGGACCCACGCACAGUUCUGAGGCUGAAAACAGCGACGGAGUUCUCACACCUGCACUGGAAGAGCCCAACAGCAACACAAUUCAGAAGCCGGAGCUGAAGAAUGGGAAGAGGCUAUACAAUAGAGACUUUUUACUGGGCUUCCAGUUCAUGCCUGCCUGUGUGCAGAAGCCAGAGGGGCUUCCGCCCAUAUCUGAUGUGGUACUGGACAAGAUAAACCAAAAUAAGUUGCCCCUGCGGCCGGACCCACGGGGGCUCAUCUCCAGAGGCCCAGACUUCACCCCAGCCUUUGCAGACUUUAGUAGGAUGAUACCUUCAGGGAGAGGAGCACCGCUGCUGAAUCCGAAUCUUAGACGGCCUCCACCACGUAAGAUCAUCAUGAACGUGUCUGUAAACGAUGAGGUACAGCUGAAGAAGGCUGAGAACGCCUGGAAGCCUGGCUUGAAGAGAGAGAGCGCCCCAGAGGACACCGAGACCCAGAAUACUCAGGAGCUUUUCCGGAAGGUGCGCAGUAUCCUUAACAAACUGACACCACAGAUGUUUAGUCAGUUGAUGAAGCAGGUGACAGACCUCACCAUCGACACGGAGGAGCGCCUUAAAGGCGUCAUUGACCUGGUUUUUGAGAAAGCCAUCGAUGAGCCCAGCUUCUCUGUGGCCUAUGGCAAUAUGUGUAGCUGUCUGGCUACUUUAAAAGUGCCCAUGGCAGACAAGCCCAACAGCACUGUGAAUUUCCGAAAGUUGCUGCUAAACCGCUGUCAGAAAGAGUUUGAGAAGGACAAAGUGAACGACGAUGUCUUUGAAAAGAAACAGCGGGAACUGGAAGCAGCUGCCUCAACCAGUGAACGUGAAAGGCUACAGGAAGAGCUGGAGGAAGCGAAGGACAAAGCUCGCAGAAGAUCCAUUGGUAACAUCAAGUUCAUCGGGGAGCUAUUUAAGCUGCGAAUGUUGACCGAGGCCAUAAUGCACGACUGUGUGGUGAAACUGCUAAAAAACCACGAUGAGGAAAGUCUUGAGUGCCUCUGUAGGCUCCUUACAACCAUUGGCAAAGAUCUGGACUUCGAGAAGGCCAAGCCACGAAUGGAUCAGUACUUUAACCAGAUGGAAAAAAUAGUGAAGGAGAGGAAGACUUCAUCACGGAUUCGCUUCAUGCUCCAGGACGUAAUUGACCUGCGUCUGCAUAACUGGGUAUCACGAAGAGCUGAUCUGGGGCCCAAGACUAUUGAGCAGAUCCACAAGGAGGCCAAAAUUGAGGAGCAGGAAGAGCAGAGAAAGGUUCACCAACAGCUGCUAUCCAAGGACAAGAGGAGACCAGGUCAGAGAAUCAUUUCAAGAGAGGAGACCUGGAACACUGUGCCUGUGCCUAAGAACAGUAGAACAAUAGACCCCAAUAAGUUUCCCAAAAUCACCAAGUCAACAAUAGAUGAUAAGAUUCAGCUGGGCCCGUUGGGACGAUCACAGCUCAGCUGGGUGAAGGGCAGCAGUGGAGGAGCUGGAGCCAAAGCCAGUGAAUCAGAUAUCUUGCGUCCCAGCAGCCUGAACCGUUACUCACCACUUCAGUCCUCAGUUCCAUCCUCUGCCUCCACUCCAUCCGCCUCCCCUGACAUUGACUCUAGAGGAGGCCUGAGCAGUCGUGGAAGCUUAGGACGGGAGCGCAAUGAUAAACCAUCGAUUCUGGGUCCCUCACGGUCUGGCCCUCCAUCUGUGGGUGGGCCAGGGAAGGACGCUGCUGAGGAGCAGACGCAGGAAGACUUUCACAAGGAUACGCACGUAUCCGACACCCCUAAACUGCAGUCCAGUACAGCUAGCGGAGGCAAACUGGAACGCAGCCAAUCCAGGGAAUCUGUAAAACUUGAAGCAAUGCCAGGCCCUACUACAGACAAGCCUGCAUUAUCAGAAGAGGAGAUGGAGAAACGAUCCAAGUCCAUUAUCGACGAGUUUUUGCACAUUAAUGAUUACAAGGAGGCCAUGCAGUGCGUAGAGGAACUGGAACAGGCCACGAUGCUAUACGUUUUUGUGCGGGUGGGUGUGGAGUCCACGCUGGAGAGGAGCCAGAUCACGCGUGACCAUAUAGGCCAGCUGUUCCAUCAGCUGCUGCAGGCUGGAAUCCUCUCCAAAUCUCAGUUCUUUAAAGGGUUUUCAGAAAUCCUUGAAAUAGCAGAUGAUAUGGCCAUUGACAUUCCUCAUAUAUGGCUGUACUUAGCGGAGCUAGUUAAUCAUUUGCUCCGGGAAAGAGGAAUCUCUGUGAGAGAAUUAUUUAGUGAAUUUAGCAAACCAUUACUCCCUGUGGGAAGAGCUGGCAUAUUAUUUUCUGAAAUAUUGCACCUUCUAUGCAAACAAAUGAGCCAUAGGAAAGUGGGGGCCUUAUGGAGGGACUCUGGACUGAGCUGGGCUGAUUUCCUUCCUGAAUCAGAGGAUGUGCACAGCUUCAUUACUGAGCAGAAACUAGAGUUCACUCUUUCUGAUUGCUCAAGUCCACCCGACACGGUCUCUACGACAAAACUCUCACCCGAAGAGCUGAACAAGCAACUUGAAAAACUUCUCCUGGAGGAUGUGGUUAGCGAUGAACAAAUCUUCGACUGGGUAGAGGUACACGGCUGUUGAAGCAAAUCUAGACGAGUCGGAAAUGAGCUCACCACCCUUCCUCAGAGCUCUGAUGACUGCUGUGUGUAAAGCAGCGGUCAAAUGGGAAAACACUUCCUGUAGAGUGGACACGGCCAUUAUCCAAAAGCGUAUGCCUGUAUUACACAAGUACCUUAACUCAGACACGGAGAGACAGUUGCAAGCACUUUAUGCACUUCAAGCUUUGAUCGUGAAUCUGGACCAGCCUCCGAACUUGCUCCGUAUGUUCUUUGACUGUUUGUAUGACGAGGAUGUAAUAUCGGAGGACGCGUUCUACAAGUGGGAGGUCAGCAAAGACCCAGCUGAGCAACAGGGCAAAGGGGUAGCGCUCAAAUCUGUGACAGCCUUCUUCACAUGGCUCCGAGAGGCAGAGGAGGAGUCAGAAGACAAUUGACAAAAGGGGAAAAAAGGACACGUUUGUGGGCGUGUGCUAAUACAGACAAUAGUUGCUGAAACAAUAACUGCAUCUUCUAAAAUGAAAUCCACGCAAACUUUAUGUAUCAAUGGGAAGAACGGAGCGCACCAGUGCACAUGGUACGGUUCACUGUCGUAAAGCAACGUGAUGACUUACAAUUGCUGGAGCACUAAAAAAAAUACAUGUUAUUUAUAGUAAUAUUUCAUUUUUAAUUUCCUCUUUUGUUACUUUUUAAGGAAAAAAGACUUUAAUAAUACAUUUACGUGCUAUAAUGAAACAGACGCUCAGAUCACACUCUAAUUUAUGAUUUCCCUUCCCCCUUUUCUUUUGUUUUCUAUUUUAAAGACCUGCAAACAGUUGUAUUUACGAUUUUGCAGAUGGUCAAAACGAGGCAUUGGUGGAUAUAGAAAUAAAGUUAAUUAUGAUAUUAUUAA